rnacentral:rRNA from 1 species
GAUGAACGCUGGCGGCGUGCCUAAUACAUGCAAGUCGAGCGAACAGACGAGGAGCUUGCUCCUUUCACGUUAGCGGCGGACGUGUGAGUAACACGAGUAUAACCUACCUAUCAGUCGGAGAUAACUUCGGGAAACCGGAGCUAAUACCGGAUAAGAUAUUGAACCGCGGGGUUCAAUAGAGAAUGACGGCGUUGCUGGACCUUCUAGCGGGAUCUCCGCCGCAUUAGCUGGUUGGGAAGUUAACGGCUUACCAAGGCAACGAUGCGUGGACGACGUGAGAGAGUGAUCGGCCACAUUGGAGGUUGAACAGGGUCCAGAGUCCUACGGGAGGGAGCAGUAGGGAACCGGCCGCAAUGGGCGAGAGCAUGGCGGAGUGACGGCGCGUGAGUGGUGACGGCCUUCGGAUCGUAAAACUCUGUUAUUAGUGAAGAACAAAUUUGGCAGGAACUAUGCCGGUCUUGACGGUACCUAAUAAGAAAGCAACGGCUAACUACGUG